GUUUUGGAGGGCUGUGAGCGCAGCGCAGAUGGCGGGUGAUCCGAAGCCGUGCGUGAUGAAGGAAAAGUGAGAGAGGCAGCUCUGGAUGCCGGGCUCCAGGAUGGGCGUGGGCCUUGAGUUGCCCAAGGGAGUCCUGUCCUGGGCCAGCAGAGUUGAUGGCAAAUGGCUGCUCCAUACAGACUCUUGGCUCUAAAGGUUUCUUCUGUACAGCCGUCAGUCUCGGAUGUCUGACUGGAUCCCGAAAUAUGCGCGGGGGGGCUCUCCCACAACUGACAGAUGUGUAACAGCCGCACGGACCCCCGAAAGCCGACCUUGUCAACCUUCAACACGCCACCGUCAGAUUCUUGGUGACGAGC